AUUGCCCUAGUAACGGCGAGUGAAGCGGCAACAGCUCAAAUUUGAAAUCUGGCCUUCGGGUCCGAGUUGUAAUUUGUAGAGGAUGCUUUUGGUGAGGUACCUUCCGAGUUCCCUGGAACGGGACGCCAUAGAGGGUGAGAGCCCCGUCUGGUUGGAUACCGAUCCUCUGUAAAGCUCCUUCGACGAGUCGAGUAGUUUGGGAAUGCUGCUCUAAAUGGGAGGUAUAUGUCUUCUAAAGCUAAAUAUUGGCCAGAGACCGAUAGCGCACAAGUAGAGUGAUCGAAAGAUGAAAAGCACUUUGAAAAGAGAGUUAAAAAGUACGUGAAAUUGUUGAAAGGGAAGCGCUCAUGACCAGACUUGGGCUUGGUUGAUCAUCCAGGGUUCUCCCUGGUGCACUCUUCCAGCCCAGGCCAGCAUCAGUUCGCUGUGGGGGAUAAAGGCUUCGGGAAUGUGGCUCCUCCGGGAGUGUUAUAGCCCGCUGCGUAAUACCCUGUGGCGGACUGAGGUUCGCGCAUCUGCAAGGAUGCUGGCGUAAUGGUCAUCAGCGACCCGUCUUGAAACACGGACCAAGGAGUCGUCUUCGUAUGCGAGUGUUCGGGUGUUAAACCCCUACGCGUAAUGAAAGUGAACGCAGGUGAGAGCUUCGGCGCAUCAUCGACCGAUCCUGAUGUUCUCGGAUGGAUUUGAGUAAGAGCAUACGGGGCCGGACCCGAAAGAAGGUGAACUAUGCCUGUAUAGGGUGAAGCCAGAGGAAACUCUGGUGGAGGCUCGCAGCGGUUCUGACGUGCAAAUCGAUCGUCAAAUAUGGGCAUGGGGGCGAAAGACUAAU
rnacentral:rRNA from 1 species